AUAAAACCCAAGUAUAACUGAUCCCUUCACAAUUUCAAGCUCCCACCUCUGCCUUUUAAAGGAAAAAUGCAACUACUUAAGAAGGCAAGUGAUCUUCAAACUGUUUUCUAAAGAAACCACAAGCAUCAUCUUUCUUUGAGUUAAAGCAAGGAUUCCCAAUGAAUAACUAGCUGUGAAUGUCAUGUGCAUCAUUAUAUUGAUAAAGCAGGUGCUGAUUGUUAGUCUAAAUCCCCCCAAAAAAGAAGAAGCUAAAUCCCCAAAAAAAA
rnacentral:misc_RNA from 1 species